GACGAACGCUGGCGGCGUGCUUAACACAUGCAAGUCGAACGGAAAGGCCCUGCUUUUGUGGGGUUCUCGAGUGGCGAACGGGUGAGUAACACGUGUGUAACCUGCCCUUGACUUUGGGAUAACUUCAGGUAACUGGGGCUAAUACCGGAUAGGAUCUCCUGCUGCAUGGUGGGGGUUGGAAAGUUUCGGCUGUUGGGGAUGGACUCGCGGCUUAUCAGCUUGUUGGUGGGGUAGUGGCUUACCAAGGCUUUGACGGGUAGCCGGCCUGGGAGGGUGACCGGCCACAUUGGGACUACGAGAGGGACCAGACUCGAACGGGAGGCAGAAGUGGGGAGUAUUGCACAAUGGGCGGAAGCCUGAUGCAGAGACGCCGCGUGCGGGAUGACGGCCUUCGGGUUGUAAACCGCUUUAGCCUGUGACGAAGCGUGAGUGACGGUAAUGGGUAAAGAAGCACCGGCUAACUACGUG
rnacentral:rRNA from 1 species